UGUAAUUUCCCCACGAUUUUUUAAGACGCUCAUCCAAAGGUCAGUGAUUCCAUCGAACACAAUAUGUGAAAUUGAUGACGCAGAUGUAACUGUGGGAACAAUUAAUAUUGAAAUCAAUACGAGAUUGAAAGUUUCACCUGCGUCGCUUCAGAUUACCCUACCCCCUCCAUUUACCGGCAAUUGAAUCCCCCUAUCCCUAUAAAUUGAAGCCACUUUAAGCCUAUUUUUGUGUGUUGUACCAUUCGUCCUUCAAGCAAUUGGCGUUUCGAAGCAAGAUUGAUUUGGAAUUAGGCUAUGGAGGAAGAAAUUUAGAUUAUUUUGCAGUUGUGAUUUUAUAAGCAGAAGCGUUUGCCAGGUCGAGGAGGUUUAUUCUUUUGAUCUUGAUUCGCUAAACUGGAUUAGGUUAAUCUUUAACAAAUGAUCUUCGGUACAGUUUAUCUUUAUUAUUUCAUCAUUUUGUCGUUAGUUAUUCAUGGUUUAAUCUUUUCUUAUUAAUAGUUUGUUUGUGUCAUUUCUUUUUGCGAUGCGAUGAACCUUAACUUUUGCGUUACAGGGAUCUUUUUAACCAGCUUUAUUGAUUGGUUCUCACGCUUACUGAUAAGAAAAUCACUAAAUUAUAGAGCAUGUUAAUUUGUGCUUCCUUUUAGCAAUAGUUUGUUGAACAUAAAUAUUCGAGUACUGAUUUUGUGCACGCGCUAUUUUGGCCUUAUGAAAACAGAGUAAAUUAGUACUUUUGUGGGUGUGAUUCCACCAGGUAUUUAUUCAGGGGGAAGGUGAGUAGGUUAAUGCUGUUUUCGAAUUAUUUUUUGGGUGGGCUUUCGUCUAUCUCAAAUUGUUCCUUGCUUUUUCGAAUUCGACUUGAAGAUAAUUUGUUUUCAGGUGAUAUUGAUUUGUAUUUUAGGAUUCUUAGUGAUAUUUCUUAUGUUGAUUUAUCUGGAAAUAGGUUUACUGGUGGGAUUCCUUAUGAUAUAUUUCAUGCUUUAUGUCUUGAGCAUUUUAGCGUGUCAAAUAAUCCGAAUCUUGGAGGGAUACUUACUGAAAAAGCAUGGUCAUUGCCGGUUCUUCGCAAUUUUUCGGCCUCAUCAUGCAAUAUUUCCGGGAAUUUCCCUGAGUUUUCGUUCUGUAAGUCGUUAUCGUUUAUCGAUUUGAAUGGGAAUCACUUAUCGGGAAGUAUCCCGGAAAGCAUUUCGGUUUGUGAGAAUCUCGAAACGUUAAAUUUCGUUGGAAAAUAAUUUAUCCGGUGAGAUACCAGUGAAGUUAGGAAGCUUGAUGAAGUUGAAGUUUCUUAAUCUGUCGUAUAACGAUCUUUCGGGUUCGAUCCCAAACGGAAACACGUUUAAAACGAUGGAUAAAAAAGUUGGGUAGCUAACCACAGGCACAAGAUCUUAUCUGAGAACUUAAAAUCCCAAUUAAGAGGUCCCCAAUGAGACUAAGGCUAAUAUAGUUUCGUUAAAAGCCAAGACGAUUUAGGACAUCAGAAACUUAAGGUUAAAAAAGGGGUUUGGCAUGUGAUUAACAAUCUGUAGGUGUGAGAUCUGGCCUGUUACCUUUGGUUUCACUCGCUGAAAUUGGAAUUAUUUAACACGAAUCCUGUUGUUGUGAACCUUUUUUAGAUUUGACCAGUUUUUUUAAUGAGCAAACUAUGAUUUGAAGAUGUUUUGAAACAUGAUUUAAGUGGAAGGCUUCUUAGCGUAAAGUCGUAAAAAAAGUUAGACAGGUCAGACGUGUUCACGGUGGAUAGUAUCAAAAGGCAGCUGCAAAGGAUCAGAUUACCGGUCCCGGAUUACAAAUUUAGUUGGAAUAACUAGGUCCCCAAGAAGAUAUCGAUAGUGGCAUGAAGAGCUGAGAAGAAUCGCCUACCGACAAUGGAUGUUCUAGCCAGGAGUAUAUAUUGCAUCUCAGAUCUACGUGCUUUCUGUGGGGAGGUUGAAGAGUCAUGCGAGCAUACUUUUGUUUCAUGUUUCUUCGUACAAUCCUUGUGGUAGGUUAUUGGUCAAUGGUGCAAAGUGCAAGGGAUUUAUGCCUUUAGUUUACGGGAUCUCCUGGGAUUACAUGACUCCAUCAACGAGUCAAAAAAGAAGAGGAAAGCUUUUCAUUCCAUUAUUUUGACAGCAAUCUGGUGUGUUUGGCGAAUGCACAAUGAUGUAGUGUUUAAUCGGGCGCUGGUGUCAUUAGCGAAGGCGGUUGAAGAAACAAUGGCCAUGAGCAUGCUUUAGGUGAAACACAGAGCCAAAGAGUAGUCGAUCACAUGGAACAAGUAGUGAUCUUUUAUGGGCUUUGAAACCGGUUAACUUAGUCGAUCACAUGGAACAAGUAUCGAUCUUUUAUGGUCUUUGAAACCUGUUAAGUUCUGUUUUUGUGGUGGCAAUUGAGUUAAUGUGCUUUGUACUCA